UACGAAGGGUGCAAGCGUUACUCGGAAUUACUGGGCGUAAAGCGUGCGUAGGUGGUGAGUUAAGUCUGUCGUGAAAGCCCCGGGCUCAACCUGGGAAUGGCGAUGGAUACUGGCUCGCUAGAGUGCGGUAGAGGAGAGUGGAAUUCCCGGUGUAGCAGUGAAAUGCGUAGAGAUCGGGAGGAACAUCAGUUGCGAAGGCGGCUCCCUGGACCAGCACUGACACUGAGGCACGAAAGCGUGGGGAGCAAACAGG
rnacentral:rRNA from 1 species